UACAGAGGGUGCUAGCGUUAAUCGGAUUUACUGGGCGUAAAGCGUGCGUAGGCGGUUCGAUAAGUCGAUUGUGAAAGCCCCGGGCUCAACCUGGGAAUUGCAGUCGAUACUGUCAGACUCGAGAACGGUAGAGGGAGGCGGAACUCCAGGUGUAGCGGUGAAAUGCGUAGAUAUCUGGAAGAACACCGAUGGCGAAGGCAACCUCCUGGGCCUGUUCUGACGCUGAGGCACGAAAGCGUGGGUAGCAAACAGG
rnacentral:rRNA from 1 species